rnacentral:rRNA from 1 species
GACGAACGCUGGCGGCGUGCUUAACACAUGCAAGUCGAACGGUGAAAGAAGAGCUUGCUCUUCUGGAUAAGUGGCGAACGGGUGAGUAACACGUGAGUAACCUGCCCCAGACUCUGGAAUAAGCGCUGGAAACGGCGUCUAAUACCGGAUACGAGACAGAGCUGCAUGGCUACUGUCUGGAAAGUUUUUCGGUCUUGGAUGGACUUGCGGCUUAUCAGCUUGUUGGUGAGGUAACGGCUCACCAAGGUAACGACGGAUAGCCGGCCUGAGAGGGCGACCGGAGCCAUAAAGAUUGAGACACGGGCCAGACUGCUGUGGGCGGCACCAGUGGCGAAAGUUUCACAAUGGACGAAAUCCUGAUUGAGCGACGCUGCGUGAGGUAUGACUGAUUUCGAGUUGUAAACCGCUUUCCGCAGGGAAGAAUCGAUAGUGACGGUACCUGCAGAAGAAGCACCGGCUAACUACGUG